UGGGGAAUUUUGGACAAUGGGCGAAAGCCUGAUCCAGCAAUGCCGCGUGUGUGAAGAAGGCCUUCGGGUUGUAAAGCACUUUUGUCCGGAAAGAGAUCCUUGGCUCUAAUAGCAGUCGGGGGAUGACGGUACCGGAAGAAUAAGCACCGGCUAACUACGUGCCAGCAGCCGCGGUAAUACGUAGGGUGCAAGCGUUAAUCGGAAUUACUGGGCGUAAAGCGUGCGCAGGCGGUUUGCUAAGACCGAUGUGAAAUCCCCGGGCUCAACCUGGGAACUGCAUCGGUGACUGGCAGGCUAGAGUAUGGCAGAGGGGGGUAGAAUUCCACGUGUAGCAGUGAAAUGGCGUAGAGUGUGGAGGAAUACCGAUGCGAAGGCAGCCCCCUGGGCCAAUACUGACGCUCAUGCACGAAAGCGUGGGGAGCAAACAGGAUUAGAUACCCCUGGUAGUCACGCCCUAAACGAUGUCAACUAGUUGUUGGGGGAUUCAAUUUCCCUUAGUAACGNAGCUAACGCGUGAAGUUGA
rnacentral:rRNA from 1 species